rnacentral:rRNA from 1 species
AUACGGAAGGUCCGGGCGUUAUCCGGAUUUAUUGGGUUUAAAGGGAGCGCAGGCGGAGAUGCAAGCGUGACGUCAAAUUUCGGGGCUCAACCCCGUCUCGCGUCGCGAACUGCGUCCCUUGGUUGCGGGAAGGGGAGGCGGAACUCGUGUGGGAGCGGUGAAAUGCAUAGAUAUCACGAAGAACUCCGAUCGCGAAGGCAGCCUUCCGGCCCGUCAACGACGCUCAUGCUCGAAGGUGCGGGUAUCAAACAGGAUUAGAUACCCUGGUAGUCCGCACAGUAAACGAUGGACACCCGCGGUUUGGCCUGUAUGGCUGAGCCGCCAAGCGAAAGCGUUAAGUGUCCCACCUGGGGAGUACGCCGGCAACGGUGAAACUCAAAUGAAUUGGCGGGG